GGGGGCCGUGAGGGCGGCUCUGUGACACCGAGCCGGUGCCGUGCUCCUUGUGUGGCACUGCCCGUGUGGCACUGCCCCUCGCUCGUGUGCCAUCGCGCCUCGCUGCUGGGCUACAGCUGCUGUCACGCAGCGCGGAGAGAAGGGCAUCAUCGCCUUCCCGUCACGGAGCAGCCAUGGCUGCCUCUGCCCAAGCCCCUUCUCCCUCCGGUGCCGUGGCUGGUGCUGGCACAGCCGCGGGCAGAGCCCUGUGCGGGUGGCCCCGCGCCUUUGUUCUGAUGGCCCGGCUCGGGUCAGCCCGGCGCGGUCACCCCGUGCCAGGCCGCAGCUGGAGGCUGGCCCCGCUCCGUGCGGCUCUCCCGGGAGCUCCCCGGCCAUCUGCGGGUCAAUGAGACACAGCCGGCAGCAUCUGGCAGGCACGGCCACGGGAGCUGAAAUCAUUCAGCAGCGAGAGGCGGCGCGGGGAUCAGGCAGGGCAGUUGCAUUUCGGGCAGCGGGUCAGGGUGCACAGAUCUCGCUAAUUUGUAUGACUCGGAUGAAUGCGGUUCAAGCGCAGCAGCCGGGACAAUACAGCGGGAGCCAUUGUCUGAGCGCAGGGAGGUUCGCUGGAGCUGCAGGCGCCCGUGCCUUGGUUACGUGUCUCCCAUCAGCGAUACGACAGCGACACGGCAGAACGCAGCGCACAGGUUUAUUCAUCCCCGCGUCCUUGCACACCGUGGCUCGGAGAGCUGCUCCCCCGUGACCUUACCUAUUUUAUGGUGCUACUCUUCAUGCUGUUUGUACGCCCUGAAGAGCAGAUCUCCCCUGCCCGAACACGGCAGAUGCUUCCUUUCCAUUCGUACAGGCACAUGUGUGCAGUCUUUUCCUGAUAAAUUGUUCUAGCAUAGAGUUCCUAAAAAUAUAUGAAGUAAAAAAAAAUAUAUAUAUUAAUUAGGAAAGCAGUAAUUUUGAAUAAGAAACUCAGCCCUUAAAGUAAAUCUUUUUAGAUUUUUAGCUCAGCUUUAAGUAUAACUUACAGAAAGGAAGCAGAGAUUCCUUUUUUACUGCAGUAAACAGUGCCCUUUAGCGGGCAAAUUGCUGGUUAGAAACUUCCCUGACUAAAAAACUCCUCUAGUUCCUCUGUAUGAGGAGUGUCUAGUUUAGGAGUAUGGAAAAGAUAAUAUGGAGGAAUAACAGGGAAAGAAACAAUAGAAAAAAAUGUGUCUCAGUGGCUCAGUUUGGGGCAGCCAUAAAAAAAUUAUUUAUAAUGAAAAAAUUAUGUCACCAGUGCAGCCAAAGGUAGAGAAACAGAACACCCUCUUUUGGUUUAUAUUUUACAACUCCACAGUAUGUUUAAGUUGACGUUUCUUAUUUCCACUCUUAAAAUAUUCUUUAGAAAUAGUAAAUAGGGCUCCAGGUUUUGCAGUUAAUUUCAUUUUUUUCUUUAUGCAAACCAAAAUGUCACUGGUUCAUAAACACCUGUCACUUCCAGUGCUUUGUUACUUAUUCAACACAAGGUAUUAUUAUAUUUUUUUUAUUCCAUCACUUUUUGUGCCUUUUUUUUUUUUUUUUUUUUAAUACCAGGAAAGACAGAGACAAUGACAUGUACCAAUACAGUGAUGUGUAUUCUGCAGGAAAGCUAAUUAAAGCAGUGUGGAAAAAGAAAACUACACCAAGAUGGCAUGACCUAUACACUGGAAAACCUGUGUUGCCAGAACUCAGGAGACUCCUGUGGCAGCUGGAAGGCAACUAGAGGGUAACCACCCAUGUAUGCAAGCACAUCUCAUAGCAGCAAUCCAAGGGCAUUGCACAGUCAAGACAAAAUAUAUUUUACCAGUGAGGAGGAGAUGGCAGAGAGAUUGAACUUCUUAUCCAGACCCACAGAGUUUGUGAGCAUGAAAUCGAAACCACACUUUGGGCACUGUUUGAAUGCUCCAACUGUAUGAAAUACAAACACAAGAGGAAGAAAUUCUCAGGCUGCUUUUCUUUGGAAUGUGUUGCACUGAAGUGAAUGGCAAACCUCUGUAUAUCCUCACAGACACACUGAUGUGAGGGUGUGGGAUAAAAGUGGGUUUUCAUCAAGUUCUUCCAGGCAUGAAGUGAGCAAAAGGUGGAUUGAAGACACACUGCAAUGAAAGAAAAAAAGGAAGUAAUAAAUGGAGAAAGGAAGCAAAAAAUUGGCUUACAGGGAUGAAAUGCUGCAGAGGAUUAGUCUGCAGGAGAGAGCUGCAGUGACAACCAAUGAUCUAAAUCCGCUUCUGGACUGAAGAGAGCCCAAGUUACACCAGACUGUCACAGCUGACCCACUUGGUACACCUGACAGUGUCUCAGUGGAGAGACCAAGAAGUGGAUGUGAGUAGAACCUGAUACAUCACUCUGGGACCAGGCUUUUCUGAACAAAAUCAAAUGUUUUUGAGAGUACAAAAUGCUGCAGACCCCUGGAUAUUGCAGACCAGAAAAUGUCACCAUUCCCUGGACAGAAAUCUACCUUCACCAGCUGGGUUUGGCUAAAAUUCCAGUAUUGUUUCUUUAAGGGCCCCUCCGUCCCUCUCCUGAUUUUUCUCUCUCUCCAAUUUAUUGAACACAUUCCAGCUAUCAGUAUUGAGCACUAUUUCCUUGGCACUGAGGCUUCAGUGGGGUUGAACCAAGACUCAGCUGCACAGCUCUUGCUGUGCAAAUCAAACCAUAGGGCAAUAACGUACAUCACUGGGCUGGGAAUGUAGAGUAAAGAGUUCUUUAUGAGAUGUUUUAGUUCAGAGACCCCAUUUGCAUUCAUUCUUUACAGUGGAUUUUUCUUCAGCCAAAGAAUCUUCCUCUCCUUACCUGUUUUACAAAUGGGUUGGAGAUUUGGCUUCUUUCUGUUCAGUGAGAACACCUCCCACCUUCAUCUUGCACUGUAUUUUACUCAGCAGCAUCCUCAACAUUUACUCUGCCUAUGACAUCACCUGUACCAAACUUCCAAAGGCUGUUUGGGACAUGCAGUUGCUGGUAGGACUUUUUGAAGACAGAAGGUUUGUGCAAGUUUAACUUGGAGCAUGAACUGGUGACAGCAAUUUUGUUAUGUGGUAUUGGAGGAGUACUGCAAGGUACCCCAUACAAACAAAGCAUCAUGUGAGGUUUUUGUCCAGAACACUGAAUUGCAGUACAGAGCUGGUGCUUCUGUGGCUGGCAGGAACAUGGCAGUACCCAUGAGGACAGACACUGUCCUUCAGUGGAAAUAUGAGUGCAGAUUGUCAAAUAUUUUUAUUCUGGAUGCAAAUGACGUCUUGCUGCUUUUGCUGAUCACUUGCUAGUGGAGAUUGACACCCAUUUGCAGAAGAAUCAGCACAUAGACUUUCAAAGUUACCAAUGGGGAACCUCUGCACAGAACUGCAUAAUCUUCAACCAGGACUUCAUUCCUUUGCUCAUAACACUCUCUGCUUACCAAAUUAUCCAUUGAACUCCUGUGCUCCUCCAAAAGAAAAAAAGAAAAAGGAAAUGAAGUGCAAAGCAGGAAGGUCUCCACCAGCCUCCAGGCAGCAGCUUUCAGGCAGUCAGUUCCCCAGAACCAUCAACCAGCAGGUGCUGAGCCCAUCCCACUACAACAAGAGCUCCAGCCUCUAAUGCCACCCAUUCCCAAAACAUAAGAGCAAAGCUUAUUUUAAAAUCCUGAUAUAAGAGGCGCUAUUUUAAGCUUGCUGCCCCUUAAAACUUGAAAGUUAAGUUAAAUCAGGCAUUGGAAUAAGUUGCCCAGAGAGGUGGUGGAGUCACCACCCGUGGAGGUGUUUAAGAGGCAUCUGGACGCGGCACUGGGUGAUGUGAUUUAGUGGU